GACGAACGCUGGCGGCGUGCUUAACACAUGCAAGUCGAGCGGAAAGGCCCUUUCGGGGGUACUCGAGCGGCGAACGGGUGAGUAACACGUGAGUAAUCUGCCCUUGGCUUUGGGAUAACCACCGGAAACGGUGGCUAAUACCGGAUAUGACGGGCUCCGGCAUCGGGGUUCGUGGAAAGUUUUUUCGGCCAGGGAUGUGCUCGCGGCCUAUCAGCUUGUUGGUGGGGUAAUGGCCUACCAAGGCUUCGACGGGUAGCCGGCCUGAGAGGGUGACCGGCCACACUGGGACUGAGACACGGCCCAGACUCCUACGGGAGGCAGCAGUGGGGAAUAUUGGACAAUGGGCGGAAGCCUGAUCCAGCAACGCCGCGUGAGGGA
rnacentral:rRNA from 1 species